rnacentral:rRNA from 1 species
AUACAAAACCAAUGCCCUUCGGGGCUCUCUUGGUGAUUCAUGAUAACUUCUCGAAUCGCACGGCCCCGCGCCGGCGAUGGUUCAUUCAAAUUUCUUCCUUAUCAACUUUCGAUGCUACGGUAUUGUCCUAGCAUGGUUG